rnacentral:lncRNA from 1 species
GGUGUUCAUUUUCUGGGACAGUACUGGUCUGUGGGCCAUAUGGCAUGAAGGGCAAACCUCAAGAUGAGCGAACACUGUAAUGAUGUUUUUCACAGGAACUUUCACAACCGAAACAGGAGAAGAUCAGAUAUGGAUCCUGGUACCUUGACCCAAAAAUGUGGAGAAAAUGGAAAGGGAGUGAACCCUUAAAAGCUCUGGAAACUGCAGGCAAUAGCCUUGGGAAUGGAAAACAUCAGUUUGAAAAGUUCCUUCUGAAAAUGCUGGCUGGGAGAAAUGAUAGUGGAGCUCAAGAGGAAACAUCCAAAGCUUGCAAGUUACCUUGUCCAAAAAGGCAUGACAAAACUGGAGGAGAUUCUUCCAGAAUUGUUGAAUAGUAGAAAUCUCUACAUUCUCUUACAAUGAAUAGGUGAUGGUAGCUGAGCUGCUUCUAGGAGAAUAAUCUCAUGUUAGAGCAAACUUGAAGAUAGCUUGCAGCUUCUUUUGCAAAAACGGCCAGAUAAAGUUUGGAGGUCAGACAUGGACUACCAAAUUCCAGGCUCAAAUCACUUUUCCAGCUUAGUAGCGCUUGGGUCUGGCUUGAAGACACUGAAGACUUCAGCUGUGCUGUAGUGCGCUGUUCCAGUCAAAGAGCCUCGUCCACAGUUACCUUAUUGCUUUAUAAAUAUCCACAACAGGCUUGCUGCUUUACAGAAUGAUUAAGCAUCCCUUUCUCUGAAUUCUGAAAGGACAAGAUGGUUGCAAUUUAUAUACCUAGAGAAAAAUUGAAACCUGUCUGAGAAUUGUACUGCUUUGAACACUACAGAAUGAUCCUAACAUGCACACAACUUAAAGUGACAUAAGCAUCCUUUUGUAAUAUAGAAAAGGCUAUCAAAAAUCAUAACUUGUUAUCUAUUAAUAUAGCAAAAAUAUCUAAUAAAGGUAACUCAAACCCCUUUGUGCA